rnacentral:rRNA from 1 species
CGGCUCUAUGCCUCAUUCGGAUUUAUUCGAAGCGAGUGGUGGAGCCGCCGAGGGUGGGAUCGUAGGGCCGCGGCGGACCGCACUUCUCCCCUAGUAGGACGUCGUGACCCGUCCGGUCAUGGUCUAAGGGUUAGGGUGGGAGCCUGUGUGAGCUGUUCGCAGUCUCGUACAGCCCCCCUUUCUCCCGGCCAUGGACGAUCCGGUCGGUAUCAAAUGACAGUGUUGGACCGCUCCGCGACGGGAGAAAUCCCGUUUCGAGAGCGCGAGGUGCCCUCGGCAAGGUUGCGAGUCGCGCGUGUCAAGGCAGGCUUCCGUCUGUCUGGCUGCUCUCGCGCCUGUUGGUUGAGUGUGCUCUCUCGCCGGUUAAACUUUAUGGCACUAGUCUACGGCGAAUCAGUUUUGGGCUCUUGUCCGACCCGUCUUGAAACACGGACCAAGGAGUUUAGCGUGUGCGCGAGUCAUUGGGUGUUAAAACCUAAAGGCGUAAUGAAAGUGAAGGAAACUUCGUUUUCGAGGGAGGAUGGGUUAGGUUCCUCUAUAGGGCCGGCCUCGCACUCCCGGGGCGUCUCUAUCUCAUUACGAGAGGAGGCGCACCUAGAGCGUACACGCUGAUACCCGAAAGAUGGUGAACUAUGCCUGGCCAGGACGAAGCCAGGGGAAACCCUGGUGGAGGUCCGCAGCGAUUCUGACGUGCAAAUCGAUC